CCUACGGGAGGCAGCAGUGGGGAAUAUUGCACAAUGGGCGCAAGCCUGAUGCAGCGACGCCGCGUGAGGGAUGGAGGCCUUCGGGUUGUAAACCUCUUUUAUCGGGGAGCAAGCGAGAGUGAGUUUACCCGUUGAAUAAGCACCGGCUAACUACGUGCCAGCAGCCGCGGUAAUACGUAGGGUGCAAGCGUUAUCCGGAAUUAUUGGGCGUAAAGGGCUCGUAGGCGGUUCGUCGCGUCCGGUGUGAAAGUCCAUCGCUUAACGGUGGAUCCGCGCCGGGUACGGGCGGGCUUGAGUGCGGUAGGGGAGACUGGAAUUCCCGGUGUAACGGUGGAAUGUGUAGAUAUCGGGAAGAACACCAAUGGCGAAGGCAGGUCUCUGGGCCGUUACUGACGCUGAGGAGCGAAAGCGUGGGGAGCGAACAGGAUUAGAUACCCUGGUAGUCCACGCCGUAAACGGUGGAUGCUGGAUGUGGGGCCCGUUCCACGGGUUCCGUGUCGGAGCUAACGCGUUAAGCAUCCCGCCUGGGGAGUACGGCCGCAAGGCUAAAACUCAAAGAAAUUGACGGGGGCCCGCACAAGCGGCGGAGCAUGCGGAUUAAUUCGAUGCAACGCGAAGAACCUUACCUGGGCUUGACAUGUUCCCGACGGUCGUAGAGAUACGGUUUCCCUUCGGGGCGGGUUCACAGGUGGUGCAUGGUCGUCGUCAGCUCGUGUCGUGAGAUGUUGGGUUAAGUCCCGCAACGAGCGCAACCCUCGCCCCGUGUUGCCAGCGGAUUAUGCCGGGAACUCACGGGGGACCGCCGGGGUUAACUCGGAGGAAGGUGGGGAUGACGUCAGAUCAUCAUGCCCCUUACGUCCAGGGCUUCACGCAUGCUACAAUGGCCGGUACAACGGGAUGCGACACCGCGAGGUGGAGCGGAUCCCUUAAAACCGGUCUCAGUUCGGAUUGGAGUCUGCAACCCGACUCCAUGAAGGCGGAGUCGCUAGUAAUCGCGGAUCAGCAACGCCGCGGUGAAUGCGUUCCCGGGCCUUGUACACACCGCCCGUCAAGUCAUGAAAGUGGGUAGCACCCGAAGCCGGUGGCCCAACCUUUUUGGGGGGAGCCGUCUAAGGUGAGACUCGUGAUUGGGACUAAGUCGUAACAAGGUAGCCGUACCGGAAGGUGCGGCUG
rnacentral:rRNA from 1 species